UAAAAACGUCUACCAUUAACAUAAGAGAAAUCAAAGAAAAGUAGACUUUCUGGAAAAUUAAAUUGUUCAUGAGAUUGAAGCAAAUUAACCAAAGUAAAAAAUGCAAAGUCUACAUUUAACAUAAGACACAACAACUUUUUUCAUAAGAAAUGGCUACCAUUAACAUAAGAGAAAUCAAAGAAAAAUAGAUUUUCUGGAAAUCUAAUUUGCUCUUGAGAUUGAAUCAAUAAUGGAAGGUGAAAGUUGCAAAGUCUACAUUUAACAUAAGACACAACUACUGUUUUCAUGAGAAAUAUCUACCAUUUAGAUAGGCAAAAUCACAGAAAAGUAGACAUUCUGGAAAUCAAAAUUGUUCUUGAGAUUGAAUUAAUGAACAUUCACAAAAUGAAAGUUGACCGUCUGAUGUGAUCAUUAUAGUGAAACAUAGCUAUGGUAUAAAAUUCAACUGGAUUCAACAAUGUUCGAUGCUCGAUCAAAGCGGUCAACCCUAAUUCAUCUUCACUUAUCACACGAAAACUAUCUUACCUACCUCUUCUUGACCUAGUUUGGUGGAUUCUUCAACACAAUAAAGUGUCACAUAGAUGAGACAUAACCACCCAUGUAAAACUUUGGGGACGUUUGCCACCCGAGGAUAGGGCUCUCCUUAUUGAAGCAUAAACAUAAAUAGGGUUGACCGCUUCGAUCGGGGCCCAAACAUUGACAAAUUAAAGUGAUUUUCCUACCGUAGCCGUAUUUUACUAUACCGAUCACAUCCUAUUUCAUGAGAUUUUUGAAAAUUUUGCUUCCUCUAUAUAGUUGGUUCACAAAGUUGUACACUAGCAUAUAACCUAUCAAACAAGUUAUAUUACUUUAGUAGGCAUGUUAUGAUUUCGAUGACUAAAAUUCACAAAAUGAAAAUUGACCGUAUGAUGUGAUCAUUAUAGUGAAACAUGACUAUGGUAUAAAAUUCAACUGGAUUCAACAAUGUUCGGGGCUCGAUCAAAGCGGUCAACCCUAAUUCAUAUUCACUUAUCACACGAAAACUAUCUUACCUACCUCUUUAUAACCUAGUUUGGUGGAUUCUUCAACACAAUAAAGUCUCACAUAGAUGAGAUUUAACCACCCAUGUAAAACUUUGGGGGACAUUUACCACCCGAGGAUAGGGCUCUCCUUAGUGAGUAUAAACGUAAAUAGGGUUGACCGCUUCGAUCGGGGCCCAAACAUUGGCAAAUUAAAGUGAUUUUUCUACCGUAGCCAUAUUUUACUAUACCGAUCACAUCCUAUUUCACAAGAUUUUUGAAAAUUUUGCUUCCUCUAUAUAGUUGGUUCACAAAAUUGUACACUAGCAGAUAACCUACCAAACAAGUUAUACCACAUUAGUAGGUACGUUGUGAUUCCAAUGACUAAAAUUCAGACGCAGUUGUGAAGUGGGUCCCGCCAGUGGUCCGUGACAUUUUUCGGUGAAUUUUUCCGACACUGGAGCUAUUUUCUAUACAUUUUGAAAGUUUUGAAAUGGUGGAAAAAAUGUAAAACUUUAAUGACAUGGACAGAUUAGUGACUUAGGACGAAUGAGGUCGCAACAUGUGGCAAUUAGUGUUGAAUUUUCAGAAAAUGAAUCCCCUGAAAUGGAAACUUACCAUUCCUUUUAUGGUAGAUUUCCAUAAAUAGUAACUUUUGUUUUUAAAGCAUAACUAUACCCCCAAAAUGGAAACUUACCCUUCCUUUUAUAGUUGAUUUCCAUAAAUAGUAACUUUCGUUUUUAGAGCAUAACUAUUCCCCCAAAAUGGAAACUUACCCUUCCUUUUANNNNNN
rnacentral:lncRNA from 1 species